rnacentral:rRNA from 1 species
CCUACGUGAGGCAGCAGUGAGGAAUAUUGGUCAAUGGACGCGAGCCUGAACCAGCCAAGUAGCGUGAAGGAUGACUGCCCUACGGGUUGUAAACUUCUUUUAUAAAGGAAUAAAAUGUUCCACGUGUGCCUUUUUGUAUGUACUUUAUGAAUAAGGAUCGGCUAACUCCGUGCCAGCAGCCGCGGUAAUACGGAGGAUCCGCGCGUUAUCCGGAUUUAUUGGGUUUAAAGGGAGCGUAGAUGGGUUGUUAAGUCAGUUGUGAAAGUUUGCGGCUCAACCGUAAAAUUGCAAUUGAUACUGGCAGUCUUGAGUACAGUAGAGGUAGGCGGAAUGCGUGGUGUAGCGGUGAAAUGCUUAGAUAUCACGAAGAACUCCGAUUGCGAAGGCAGCUCACUAAACUGCAACUGACAUUGAGGCUCGAAAGUGUGGGUAUCAAACAGGAUUAGAUACCCGAGUAGUC